CCUCCUUAUACGAUUUAGAACUUAUUUGUUCGUAGUGUCCACACAGAUGAUUGUUAGUUAGUUUUACCCUCUGGGUUAACUAAUUAAUAUGCUCUUUAAAAAUUUGGAAAAGCUGAUAAUAGAAUUCGUAUGAAUAACAUUGUUAUUUGUACAGAGUUUUCAAAAGUAAAAGAGAAUGAUAGCAGUAUCAUUCAGUGCCAAUUUAAUCCUCGGAUUAAUUGGUAUCUACUUUAGUAUUCAAUAUUAACUUCUGGCGAAGUUAAACUGUCACGAAACAAAGACCCGUUUGGGUUGUAUGGUUAAGUGACUAAGCGUACACGGUGGAUGC
rnacentral:misc_RNA from 1 species